GAAUACAGAGGGCAAACUUAUCGAAAGGUAAGGACGCAAAGCCAUGGGCCUACAUUCUAAACAGAAGAUGGUAGCCGGUUGCAGAA
rfam:Alkaliphilus metalliredigens QYMF, complete genome.